rnacentral:lncRNA from 1 species
UGACUGUCAGGCCACCUUAAGCCACAGUACGGAAGAAGCUGUGCUGCCUGUGAGCCCCGUCCAAGGACGUUAAAAGAAGAAGUCAGGCCCCAAAGCCACGGUUUGAGCAAACCGUGCUGCCUGUAGCUCCGUCGUGGGGACGUAAAAACCUGGGAGGCUGCAAACUGUGGAAGCUGUACGCACAGUGUAGCAGACUAGUGGUUAGAGGAGACCCCUCCCAUGACACAACGCAGCAGCGGGGCCCGAGCAUUGAGGGAAGCUGUACCUCCUUGCAAAGGACUAGAGGUUAGAGGAGACCCCCCGCAAAUAAAAACAGC